rnacentral:misc_RNA from 1 species
GAAAAUUUGGACUAUGACAGUCGAUCAGACAAGAGUUUUGGAAUGAAACAAAGGCCUGAUGGGGAUAUUGAGAUUGAUGAGAAGUUCUGGGAAGAGGAUUUCUACAUUCCUGAAUGUCAGAGCUGCCAAGGAGUUCUGAAACCUGAUGUUGUCUUCUUUGGGGAUAAUGUCCCCAAAUCUAGGGCAGAUGCUGCUAUGGAAGCUGCAAAGGGAUGUGAUGCCUUCCUUGUACUUGGUUCAUCUUUGAUGACCAUGUCCGCCUUCCGGCUUAUCAAAGCUGCACGUGAGGCAGGUGCUGCUACUGCAAUUAUAAAUAUUGGUGCUACACGAGCUGACGAUAUUGUACCUUUGAAAAUUAGUGCUCG